GUUCCAGACUCCUACGGGAGGCAGCAGUGGGGAAUAUUGCACAAUGGGGGAAACCCUGAUGCAGCGACGCCGCGUGAGUGAAGAAGUAAUUCGUUAUGUAAAGCUCUAUCAGCAGGGAAGAAAAUGACGGUACCUGAGUAAGAAGCCCCGGCUAACUACGUGCCAGCAGCCGCGGUAAUACGUAGGGGGCAAGCGUUAUCCGGAUUUACUGGGUGUAAAGGGAGCGUAGACGGCAUGGCAAGUCAGAUGUGAAAGCCCGGGGCUCAACCCCGGGACUGCAUUUGAAACUGUCAGGCUGGAGUGCAGGAGAGGUAAGUGGAAUUCCUAGUGUAGCGGUGAAAUGCGUAGAUAUUAGGAGGAACAUCAGUGGCGAAGGCGACUUUCUGGACUGUAGCUGACGCUGAGGCACGAAAGUGUGGGGAGCAAACAGGAUUAGAUACCCGAGUAUCC
rnacentral:rRNA from 1 species